UAUAUUAUUUAGCUGCAGGAACUCAAGAAGCUGGGGGAUCACAUUGAGUAGCGUUACAAGGAGAACUCGGAGAGAAGACCAGCAAUUGAACAAAUUAACUAAUGCAUCAACAGUUUCAGAGAGGCAGCAUUGGAAAGAACCUUUGGACUUUUGCUAAUAUCUCUUCUUCUUAGAAUGUAAUUGAUUUGGCUUCAUGACUGGAGAUGACUUUAUAAUUUUGAUCAUCCUUGAUAUUUGGUUGGUGGUAUAUGAGUGUGUGGAAGUGGAGGCAUAGUUGAGAGAGAAAAAUGCAGCAACAAGAAAACCUUCGGAAAUAUUCAUCACCAGUUCUGUUGUCGGCUGAUUUGAGAAGGAAAGCAAAAGCAGUUGGCAGGUGGUGUGUCAAGAGCAAUCCCUCUCCAGUUUGGGAGUUUCAGUCAUGGUUUUGUGUAUGGAUGCAGGUA